rnacentral:rRNA from 1 species
AUUGAACGCUGGCGGCAUGCCUUACACAUGCAAGUCGAACGGCAGCACUGCUGCUUGCACCUGGUCGCGAGUGGCGAACGGGUGAGUAAUACAUCGGUACUCUUCCUUGCGCGUGGGAUAGCGCGGCGAAAGCCGGGUUAAUUCCCCAUACGAUCUACGGAUUAAAGCCCGUUGCGGUCAGGCCUUGCGCUUUGGGUUUGCCCGAUGGCUGUCUAGCUAGUUGGGGGGGUAAAGGCUUACCAAGGCGACAAUCAGUAGCUGGCCUGAGAGGACGACCAGCCGCACUGGGAGUGAGACACGGCCCAGAGUCCUACGGGAGGCAGCAGUGGGGAAUUGUGGACAAUGGGCGAAAGCCUGAUCCAGCAAUGCCGCGUGUGUGAAGAAGGCCUUCGGGUUGGAAAGCACGUUUUUCCGGAAAGAAAUCCUUGGCCCUAAUACGGUCGGAGGAUGACGGUACCGGAAGAAGAAGCACCGGCUAACUACGUG